rnacentral:snRNA from 1 species
GCGUCGUUCGGACCGCCUU